rnacentral:rRNA from 1 species
AUUGAACGCUGACGGCAUGCUUUACACAUGCAAGUCGAACGGUAACAGGCCGCAAGGUGCUGACGAGUGGCGAACGGGUGAGUAAUGCAUCGGAACGUGCCCAGUCGUGGGGGAUAACGCAGCGAAAGCUGUGCUAAUACCGCAUACGAUCUAUGGAUGAAAGCGGGGGACCGGAAGGCCUCGCGCGAUUGGAGCGGGCGAUGUCAGAUUAGGUAGUUGGUGGGGUAAAGGCUCACCAAGCCAACGAUCUGUAGCUGGUCUGAGAGGACGACCAGCCACACUGGGACUGAGACACGGCCCAGACUCCUACGGGAGGCAGCAGUGGGGAAUUUUGGACAAUGGGCGCAAGCCUGAUCCAGCAAUGCCGCGUGCAGGAAGAAGGCCUUCGGGUUGUAAACUGCUGUUGUACGGAACGAAAAGGUUUGGGUUAAUACCCUGGGCCGAUGACGGUACCGUAAGAAUAAGCACCGGCUAACUACGUGCCAGCCGCCGCAGUAA